GUUUUAGUCAUUCGACAUUGUUUUUCCUAAAAAGAUAAAGCACAGAGUUGUUUGAGGUAGUGUUUUAACUAAUAUCUUAAAUUUGUGUGGACAAAUAGUUCAGAAAAAAACAAUGGACGGUUGGGUUACCAAAGUAAAUGUUCCCAAGACCCCCACAGGUGCCCCCUCCCCCGCAACGCCCGCAGGAACCACCCCCGCAUCCACCACCCCCUCCUGCGGAACCAUGCGGUGACAAGCGAUCAUUCACCAAAACCAAGAGUAUUCUUAUGCUGACACAAGCAAUGUCGCAUUUCAAGAACAGAGAAGAAUAUACGUCAAAAUGUGUGACUAAAUCUAACUCUAACGAUUAAAAGCGCUUUGUUUUUUAUCAUUUACAUCUUGUAAUCUAAUUUUAAUUUAAUAAAUUGCAAUUGACUUCUGUUACUUUGAUUUUAAUUAAAACAAUAUUUGA
rnacentral:sRNA from 1 species